UAAAUUCCAAAACAUUUUUUGUCAAUUAAACACCGAAAAGAUGGAAUUGCAAUUCCAUUUUCGAAUUUCCUACCUAUCAACCAAGUUAGAUUUUUUCCCCACGUUCAGUUUCUUCUUCUUCCUGCUCUGUCCACCAUACGGCUGUUCUCUCCCAAAUCACCACCCUUCAAUCAGCCAUCAACUGCUCAAUUACCACCCUUCAAUCAGCCCAUAAACCUAACGACCGAAGUGAGCACAGGGAUAGCUUUUAGUUAGCUGAUGCAAAGGACAAAAUCUCUUCAAUCCUUCUGAUUGCGGUUCUAGAUGUCCUGUUUUGACACCGAAUAUUAAAGAAUGCCAAAAUUAUAUUUCAACAAGAAGAUAUCAAGUUUGUGCAGCCAUCUUCUUCUUCUUCUUCUUCUUAUCUAGGUAAGUGGGAGAGGAUGGAGAUGCUGCCAAACAACCCUCGUCGGCUAUUCAUUAUGUGAUCAUCAGUUGGAUAAAAGGAAGCUUAAAAGCACGACGAGCACUGUUCGCGUACUCUCUCCGAGUGCGAAGCAAGUAGAAGCUUUUGUUGCGUCCAAGAAUGAAAUCUUGAGCCCAUCUUCAACUCGACAAAUAUCAUCUAUCUUGAGUUCCUUAGAUGUGGACUCGAAAUGAUUAGAGAAAAUUGAUAACGAUGAUGAGAAGAAAGCAGUGAUGUCUGCAAAGAAGAUGACAAAAAUUGGACCUCAUGGUGAGAGCUAGAUCAAUAAGCAGCCUGCUUGGCCAGAUUGAUAGUACGGCAAUUGAGUAUUAUUUCGUGCAGAAGAAAGUUGAAUCGUUAUGAUAUGUUGUUGCAUUGAAUUUGGAAUGUAUAUAUAUGGCCACAGUAUAACAGAUGUAUGUAGUAUUGAACAAGUUGAAUUGCGAUA